rnacentral:rRNA from 1 species
GAACGAUGAAGCCGCUUCGGUGGUGGAUUAGUGGCGAACGGGUGAGUAACACGUGGGCAAUCUGCCCUGCACUCUGGGACAAGCCCUGGAAACGGGGUCUAAUACCGGAUAAUACCUGCCGAGGCAUCUUGGCGGGUUGAAAGCUCCGGCGGUGCAGGAUGAGCCCGCGGCCUAUCAGCUUGUUGGUGGGGUGAUGGCCUACCAAGGCGACGACGGGUAGCCGGCCUGAGAGGGCGACCGGCCACACUGGGACUGAGACACGGCCCAGACUCCUACGGGAGGCAGCAGUGGGGAAUAUUGCACAAUGGGCGAAAGCCUGAUGCAGCGACGCCGCGUGAGGGAUGACGGCCUUCGGGUUGUAAACCUCUUUCAGCAGGGAAGAAGCGCAAGUGACGGUACCUGCAGAAGAAGCGCCGGCUAACUACGUGCCAGCAGCCGCGGUAAUACGUAGGGCGCAAGCGUUGUCCGGAAUUAUUGGGCGUAAAGAGCUCGUAGGCGGCUUGUUGCGUCGGAUGUGAAAGCCCGGGGCUUAACCCCGGGUCUGCAUUCGAUACGGGCAGGCUAGAGUUCGGUAGGGGAGAUCGGAAUUCCUGGUGUAGCGGUGAAAUGCGCAGAUAUCAGGAGGAACACCGGUGGCGAAGGCGGAUCUCUGGGCCGAUACUGACGCUGAGGAGCGAAA